rnacentral:rRNA from 1 species
AUUGACCUCGGAUCAGGUAGGGAUACCCGCUGAACUUAAGCAUAUCAAUAAGCGGAGGAAAAGAAACCAACAGGGAUUGCCCUAGUAACGGCGAGUGAAGCGGCAACAGCUCAAAUUUGAAAUCUGGCUCCUUUGGGGUCCGAGUUGUAAUUUGUAGAGGGUGCUUUGGYGUUGGYUGUGGUCUAAGUUCCUUGGAACAGGACGUCACAGAGGGUGAGAAUCCCGUACGUGGCCGCCAGCCUCCACCGUGUAAAGCCCCUUCGAUGAGUCGAGUUGUUUGGGAAUGCAGCUCUAAAUGGGAGGUAAAUUUCUUCUAAAGCUAAAUAUUUGCCAGAGACCGAUAGCGCACAAGUAGAGUGAUCGAAAGAUGAAAAGCACUUUGGAAAGAGAGUCAAAAAGCACGUGAAAUUGUUGAAAGGGAAGCGCUUGCAGCUAGACGUGCCUUGGGUUGAUCAGCCGGGCUUUUGCCCGGUGCACUCUUCCUUUGGCAGGCCAGCAUCAGUUUGGGCGGCUGGAUAAAGGUCUGUUAAACGUGACUUCCUUCGGGGAGAGCUUAUAGGGCAGACGACAUGCAGCCAGCCUGAACUGAGGUCCGCGCAUCUGCUAGGAUGCUGGCGUAAUAGCUGUAAGCGGCCCGUCUUGAAACACGGACCAAGGAGUCUAACAUCUAUGCGAGUGUUUGGGUGUCAAGCCCGAGCGCGUAAUGAAAGUAAACGGAGGUGGGAACCCUUUGGGCGCACCAUCGACCGAUCCUGAUGUCUUCGGAUGGAUUUGAGUAAGAGCAUAGCUGUUGGGACCCGAAAGAUGGUGAACUAUGCCUGAAUAGGGUGAAGCCAGAGGAAACUCUGGUGGAGGCUCGCAGCGGUUCUGACGUGCAAAUCGAUCGUCAAAUUUGGGCAUAGGGGCGAAAGACUAAUCGAACUAUCUAGUAGCUGGUUCCUGCCGAAGUUUCCCUCAGGAAA